rnacentral:misc_RNA from 1 species
GAAAUGCGAUAAGUAGUGUGAAUUGCAGAAUUCAGUGAAUCAUCGAAUCUUUGAACGCACAUUGCGCCCUUUGGUAUUCCUUAGGGCAUGCCUGUUCGAGCGUCAUCUAAACCUUCAAGCCCUGCUUGGUGUUGGGUGCCUGUCCCGCCUCCGCGCGCGGACUCACCUCAAAUCCAUUGGCGGCCCCCGCGUCGGCCACGAGCGCAGCAGAAACGCGAACUCGUGAGCCCGUCCGGGCGGCUCCCAGAAGCUACACCCACCUAGUUUGACCUCGGAUCAGGUAGGGAUACCCGCUGAACUUAAGC